UUACGCGCCAGCGGUUCGGCCGGGCCCCCAA
rnacentral:misc_RNA from 1 species